GUCUAUGGCUGUGCCACCCUGAACACGCCCGAUCCCGUCUGAUCUCAGAAGCUAAGCAGGGUUGGGCCAGGUUAGUACUUGGAUGGGAGAUCACCUAGGAAGACCAGAUGCUAUAGGUG
rnacentral:rRNA from 1 species